UACGUAGGGAGCAAGCGUUGUCCGGAAUCAUUGGGCGUAAAGCGCGCGUAGGCGGCCCUGUAAGUCCGCUGUGAAAGUCAAAGGCUCAACCUUUGAAUGCCGGUGGAUACUGCAGGGCUAGAGUCCGGAAGAGGCGGGUGGAAUUCCUGGUGUAGCGGUGGAAUGCGCAGAUAUCAGGAGGAACACCAACGGCGAAGGCAGCCCGCUGGGACGGUACUGACGCUAAGGCGCGAAAGCGUGGGGAGCGAACAGG
rnacentral:rRNA from 1 species